CUCUGGGGUCCCCUUGCACGCUGUGGAAGCUUUAUUGUUUCACUCUUUGCAAUAAAUCUUGCUGCUGCUCACUCUUUGGGUCCACACUGCCUUUAUGAGCUGUAACACUCACGAUGAAGUUCUGCAGCUUCACUCCUGAAGCCAGCGACACCACAAACCCACCAGGAGGAAGGAACAACUCCAGAUGCACCUCCUUAAGAGCUGUGACACUCACCGCGAAGGUCCGCAGCUUCACUCCUGAGCCGGCGAGACCACGAACCCCACCAGAAGGAAGAAACUCUGAACACCUCCGAACAUCAGAAGGAACAAACUCUGGACACGCUGCCUUUAGGAACUGUAACACUCACCGCGAGGGUCCCCGGCUUCAUUCUUGAAGUCAGUGAGACCAAAAUCCCACCAAUUCUGGACACACUAGGAAGACUGAGACCCAAUUGGACCAUCAAAGAACGACCCAAUCACCAGCACAAAGCUAAUAAACUUGUAAGCUUUCAAUACAAAUAACGUUGGAACAUAGCUAGGAAGACUUCAGGAGACAGAUUCUCUUUGCAGAGUCUCUGGGAGGUAAGACCCUAACAUAAAUAGGGAGUUAUAAACUAUGCAUUACUAGAGAUAUCAUAAAUUAUACUGUGAUUUUUUUUUUGUGUAUGUGGUUUGUUUUUUUGUUUUGUUGUCUUUUUUUGUUGUUGUUUGAGACGGAGUCUCGCUCUGUCGCCCAGGCUGGAGUGCAGUGGCGCGAUCUCGGCUCACUGCAAGCUCCGCCUCCCAGGUUCACGCCAUUCCUACCUCAGCCUCCGGAGUAGCUGGGACUACAGGCGCCUGCCACAGUGCCCGGCUAAGUUUUUGUAUUUUUAGUAGAGGCGGGGUUUCACCGUGUUAGCCAGGAUGGUCUCGAUUUCCUGACUUGGUGAUCUGCCCGCCUCGGCCUCC
rnacentral:lncRNA from 10 species